rnacentral:rRNA from 1 species
AUUGAACGCUGGCGGUAUGCUUUACACAUGCAAGUCGAACGGUAGAGGGGGCAACCCCUUGAGAGUGGCGAACGGGUGAGUAAUGCAUCGGAACGUGCCCAGUCGUGGGGGAUAACGCAGCGAAAGCUGUGCUAAUACCGCAUACGAUCUCUGGAUGAAAGCGGGGGGACCGAAAGGCCUCGCGCGAUUGGAGCGGCCGAUGUCAGAUUAGGUAGUCGGUGGGGUAAAGGCCUACCAAGCCAACCAUCUGUAGCUGGUCUGAGAGGACGCCCAGCCCGACGGGGGCGGAGGCACGGCACAGACUCCUACGGGAGGCAGCAGUGGGGAAUGUUGGACAAUGGGCUCAAGCCUGAUCCAGCAAUGCCGCGUGCAGGAAGAAGGCCUUCGGGUUGUAAACGGCUUUUGUACGGAACGAAACGGUCUGGGUUAAUACCCUGGGCUAAUGACGGUACCGUAAGAAUAAGCACCGGCUAACUACGUGCCAGCCGCCGCAGUAA